GAGUUUGAUCCUGGCUCAGAUUGAACGCUGGCGGCAGGCCUAACACAUGCAAGUCGAGCGGUAGCACAGAGAGCUUGCUCUCGGGUGACGAGCGGCGGACGGGUGAGUAAUGUCUGGGAAACUGCCUGAUGGAGGGGGAUAACUACUGGAAACGGUAGCUAAUACCGCAUAAUGUCGCACGACCAAAGUGGGGGACCUUCGGGCCUCAUGCCAUCAGAUGUGCCCAGAUGGGAUUAGCUAGUAGGUGGGGUAACGGCUCACCUAGGCGACGAUCCCUAGCUGGUCUGAGAGGAUGACCAGCCACACUGGAACUGAGACACGGUCCAGACUCCUACGGGAGGCAGCAGUGGGGAAUAUCGCACAAUGGGCGCAAGCCUGAUGCAGCCAUGCCGCGUGUGUG
rnacentral:rRNA from 1 species